GUCAAGAACUUGUUGAAUAACAGGUAAUGGUUAUAUCAUUCAAACUUCUUUUACUUUUGCUUGUUUCUGGUUUUUGUUUAUCUUCGAUUUGCUAACCUCAAAACUGAAAAAAGUUGGACUAGAGCAUUAAGUUUUGGACAUUAUGUGUGGUUUUGGACACUAUGUCUCAUCUUCGUUUGAUUCAGCUGAGUUUGCUAGGGAAGGUUAGCAAGAGGAAUUCUAAUGAAAAUUUGAAAAAAAAUUUCAUAUAUUGGGUUUUUAAGAUUAAAGAGCAUCAGUAAGCACAGCAAGCGAUUAUUUAUUAUUCUCUUUCUUCAUGUGUGAUGCUUUUUCUUCUACUUUGUUCUUGUCUUGCGUGUGGGAGAAUAUGUGCUGUAAAGUAGCAUGCUUUGUGGGAGUGGGAUUAGUAACUUUUUAUUGUCAA
rnacentral:misc_RNA from 1 species